UGUGAAUGUCCCCCUCAGCUGCCCAUGUCCCUUCCAUACGCAGCCAGCCUCCUCUCCUCCCCAUACUUCCUAAACUUGCAGAGGUCCCAGAAUGAAAGCUGUCGGAAGACGGACUGAAAUGACCAUGUGCUGCAUGGCUUCUGUUUGCCCCUCCAGAUGGUCCUCCGUGUUCUCCACACUCCUCUCUGCGGCAGAAGGCUGACCUGGAUGAAGGGAUCCAUGGACUCUCUCGCCCGCUGGCUUCCAGGAAGUCAUUUGCUUUGAACUGUAGCGAAUGGUCUGGGGGCUGGGCAAUGAGACCAGAAGAAUUGGAGAUGAAUCCCAAGUUCUGGCUUCAUGAGUGGAUGGAUGCGGGUGCCAUUUAUAGAGUCAGUGAAGACUGGGAGGAAGAUGGAGGAGGCAAUUAAAUUCCAGAUGUUCUGAGACUUCUCAGUGGCAAUGUCAGCCGCAACUUCUCUCCUGGGCUCCAGAUCCAUAAAUCUUAACUGCCUGCUGGACAUCUUGCCUCGAAAUGCUAUAAGCACCACCAACUCAACGCAUCCAAUGUCAGAUUUUGUCUCCUCCCUCUUCCCAUCCUUCCUUCAUGCCCCUUCGUGAAAUAAAUGCAGACUUGCCCUCUCCUUCCUGAAUCCUCUCUCAUGGUCAAGGGCAUCACUCUCUACUUAAUUACGCAGG
rnacentral:lncRNA from 1 species